UAUUAUUACUCACCUUUUGCAGACGAGCCCCAGAGAAAUUAAGUACUGUCCUUUAGGUCUAUCGCUGAGUAAGGGAGCCAGACCAUCAGCCUUGAUGGUCUGUCUCCAGAGCCUGCAUCCUCAACUGUGAUGCUCUCCUGCCUGUUAGGAGACAACAUUAGUUGGUCCUGGGGGGGGGCCCUUGCCCCCAUCAGUCCACACCCCUGUCUCCUGCUGAGGUCAUCCAUGAUUUCCAUGUUGUUCUGUGUCACUAGAUCUUUUUGCGAGUUUUAUAGCAAUAGUUCUCAUCAUACUUGAUAGCACAACAGCUUUGCAGUGCUGCUCACGCCCUCCUUUCUAAAGGUAUGAAACCUUCCUCCCCUUGGCUUCCUUAAUGCCAUUCUUUUUCUGGUUUCCAUCCUGCCUUUCUGGUCCUUCCUUCUUCUUCUUUUUUUUUUUUAAUUUAAAGUAUAGUUGAUUUGCACUGAACCAAUUUCUGCUGUACAGCAAAGUAACCCAGUCAUACAUACAUAUAUAUAUUUCCUUUCUUAUAUUAGGUUCUCAGUCUAGGGGUCAAAUCCCCAUGUGCCACAGGCACAGCAACAUGGGAUCCAAGCCACAUCUGCAACCUACAGCACAGCUCAGAGCAACGCCAGAUCCUCAACCCACUGAACAAGGCAGGGAUUGAACCCACGUCCUCAUGGAUGCUAGUUGGGUUCAUAACCUUCCUCCUGAUCCCAUAUCUUAAAUCUUUUUUAUCUUUUCUUUUCUUUUUUUGGCCACCCCAAAGCCUGUGGACUUUCUGGGCCAGGGAUCUGAUCCGAGCCACAGCUGUGAUCUCUGCCGCUGCUGUGGCAACACCAGAUCCUUCACCCAGUGUGCCAGGCCAGGGAUCGAACCUGCAUCCCAGCACGUGCUGAUCCCAUUGCAUCACAGUGGGAACUCCUUGAAUAUCUUUUGAGUCCACCCCAUCUCUCCUUCUCCACUGCCACCAUCCUGGUCCAUCUCUCUCUAGGAGCCCCAACUUCCCGGGCUUCCUGUGCCCACUUUCCAUCAUCCUGUGCUUUUCUCUGAGAGCUGUUUUCACAUAUAAGCCUAUGUAUUGGUGUGAUUGUCAUUAAUAUCGUUUCUCCCCAAAUACAGCGUACUUGCUCCAAAAGUAGGGACCAUGCCUAGUUUCCUCCUUCACACCUUAGCUCCGACUAGCACAACUCCUACUUGGCAUAUCAGAGACAUUGUUGAAUGUAAAAAACAAUUGAGAUGCAUCACACGAUAGGCUGAGGUCAAGGGCAAAGAAAGAACAUUCAAAAACAAAUAGGCAAGUAUGCUGUGCAGUAUAGACUCAUCGUGAAUGGAUGGUUAUUGAUAAUACUGAUGGGGUCUUCAGAGAAAGGUUCCACCUUAUUAUUCUCUAUUUUUAAAGGCAAGCACCUAGAGGUAGCAUUAUGAAAGAGAGCGAUCUUGGAAAUGUUUCCAUUUGGUAAGUAAUGUUUUAGCAAGUGAGCAAUGAUUAAGUUAAUUUAUAUGAAUACCUCAUUUCCCAAUAAUGCAGGUAAAUGUUUAUGUCCAGCUGUGAGCACAGAUAGCGCCUUCUCUCUUAUUUCUGCCAAUGGAGGCCAAGAGGCACAGAUCUUUGAAAUUAUGGUGAGUAGGGAAGGGGGUUUAUUGACCUGCCUGCCAUCACCUUUCCUUGAUCACAGAAGAAUCGCCAGAGGGGCUGAAAAAGGGGCAACAGGAGAAAAGGAGAAACAGUAGGAAUCUUGGAUAAUCCUCCACUGGAUAAUUCAGAUUUAACUGGGUCUGUUUUGAUGUGUGCCCAUGUUUCUUUACAUGGAAGAGGAUGAACCCGCAAAUAGUAUAAAUGCCAGCUUUUGAAGGCUGUUGGAUAAUGCAACCCAUAGCAUAUGGCAUCAAAUUAAUUUGGGGUUUCACUUGUCUCCGUCUGAUUUGGGCUCAUUGAAUUAUGAGAUAAUAGUUUGGCAUCCGUGUUUGCAGUACUCUUUGUAAGUUUCUCGGUUUCGCAAAAAUUCUCUGAGGUCAGAGGAUGUGUGGUGACCCUAGUUCAGCAAGUGAGGAAAUAGAGGCAUCAUGGAGAUGAGCACUUUGCCUGAGCUUUGGAAAUAGCUGGUCGGGCAGAGCCGAUGAGAGCCAGGCCUGCGGACUGUGGCUCUCGCAUCACCGUUUCUGCCUUUCCUUUGAGUGCUUUUCUUGCUUUCGUUCUCUUUCAUGCCGUUGAAUGCAACCUGUUCCAUCCUGCUGCCCAUCACAGUUAGAAGGAGGAAGGAAUUUAAAACAGGAUGAUUGGCUGGACAGUAAGGAGCGGCACAGCUGAAUCCCAUCAAAGCAUAAAUGUGCCUGCAGCCCCAGUGGUGUUAAAACUUGGCAAUGAUGUCUUCUCACGGCUUCACCUGGCCUCCACAUGGCAAGGAGAUGCUUCAUCCGGGCAGACCUCUUUCUCUGUUGACUGUGGCAUUUUGCUGUUUUCUGCCCACCUCCAGAAUCUCCUAAGGGGGUUUGACCUUUCUUAUAGGCAGCGCUAAAAUUUAAUGUUGAACAGUUGUUUCUCCUGUAGCCCCCGUAGAAUUUGGGGGUCUCAGCCAGUUGUGUUAAAGUUGCCAGUCAAGAAGCCUUCCAAAGGUGUGGAUCACCAGUUACCUCCCGGCACAUCUGUUGUACUAAAUGCUAGUGGCAGUAGGAACUGUUAACUCCGCUGCCCCGUGAAAGUGCAAAAGGCUCAACACUUGAUUCCAUAGUGCGUCAAUCUACUUAGGUGAUUACUUUAAUAUAGACGUUGCCAGCGUUUCUCCAAAGCUUCACCGAGUUCCUAAAUCGGUCACACAAAGGGGAAUAAUUGGGCUCAAAACCCGUCGCGUUAUCUGUUGCAUCAAGGCUGCAGAUAAAUGCUGCGUGGGAAGGGCCUCCUUUGCCUUCUUUUGAGCAGAAUAUUAUUGCCAUAUAUUCUCUCUGAACUGAGAGGUGAGGAUUGAGCUCCGCUCUGCCUCAGAAAAUAUCAAGAGUUUUAAAACAUUAGUUUUGAGGGGUCGGAGUACAUAGAAACUCGUAGCGUUUGAAUGUCAGCCCAGAUGUUGGCAGGCUUCCAUUCAGAUUUCGUCGCGAGUGAAAUGUGUACUCAGCAACGAGGUUCAAGCCCUUGGUCGUUUAUAAGCAAAUCUCUCUGCUUUUUCUAACCCAUUGC
rnacentral:lncRNA from 1 species